rnacentral:rRNA from 1 species
CUUUAAUGGAGAGUUUGAUCCUGGCUCAGGACGAACGCUGGCGGCGUGCCUAAUACAUGCAAGUCGAGCGGACUUGAUGGAGAGCUUGCUCUCCUGAUAGUUAGCGGCGGACGGGUGAGUAACACGUAGGCAACCUGCCUGUAAGGCCGGGAUAACUAGCGGAAACGUUAGCUAAUACCGGAUAAUUUAUUUCAUCGCAUGGUGGAAUAAUGAAAGACGGAGCAAUCUGUCACUUACGGAUGGGCCUGCGGCGCAUUAGCUAGUUGGU